UGCCUGUAAGACUGGGAUAACUCCGGGAAACCGGGGCUAAUACCGGAUGGUUGUUUGAACCGCAUGGUUCAAACAUAAAAGGUGGCUUCGGCUACCACUUACAGAUGGACCCGCGGCGCAUUAGCUAGUUGGUGAGGUAACGGCUCACCAAGGCAACGAUGCGUAGCCGACCUGAGAGGGUGAUCGGCCACACUGGGACUGAGACACGGCCCAGACUCCUACGGGAGGCAGCAGUAGGGAAUCUUCCGCAAUGGACGAAAGUCUGACGGAGCAACGCCGCGUGAGUGAUGAAGGUUUUCGGAUCGUAAAGCUCUGUUGUUAGGGAAGAACAAGUACCGUUCGAAUAGGGCGGUACCUUGACGGUACCUAACCAGAAAGCCACGGCUAACUACGUGCCAGCAGCCGCGGUAAUACGUAGGUGGCAAGCGUUGUCCGGAAUUAUUGGGCGUAAGGGCUCGCAGGCGGUUUCUUAAUCUGAUGUGAAAGCCCCGGCUCACCGGGGAGGUCAUUGGAACUGGGGACUUGAGUGCAAAAAAGAGAGUGGAAUUCCCGUGUAGCGGUGAAUGCGUAGAAUGUGGAGGACACAGUGGCGAAGCGACUCUCUGGCUGUACUGACCCUGAGAGCGAAACGUGGGAGCGAAAGGAUAAAUACCUGGUGUCACGCCGUAAAGAUAAUGCUAAUGUUAGGGGUUCCGCCCUUAUGCUGCACUAAGCAUAAGACUCCGCUGGGAGUCGGUCGCAAACUGAACUCAAGGAUUGACGGGGCCCCACAACCGUGGACAUGUGUUUAUUCGAGCACCCGAAAACUUACAGGCUUGAAUC
rnacentral:rRNA from 1 species